rnacentral:rRNA from 1 species
ACCUGACAUCUGAUGUCGCGCAAGUCGUGGGGAGCACAUCAGGAGUAGAUACCCUGGUAGUCCACGCAGUAAACGAUGAGUGCUAAGUGUUAGAGGGUGUCCGCCAUUUAGUACUGAAGUUCACGCAUUAAGCACUCCGCCUGGGGAGUACGGCUGUCACGACUGAUACUCAAAGGAAUUGACGGGGGCCCGCACAAGCGGUGGAGCAUGUGGUUUGAUUCGAAGCAACGUGAAGAACCUUACCAGGUCUUGACAUCCUCUGACAACCCUAGAGAUAGGGCUUCCCCUUCGGGGGCAGAGUGACAGGUGGUGCAUGGUUGUCGUCAGCUCGUGUCGUGAGAUGUUGGGUUAAGUCCCGCAACGAGCGCAACCCUUGAUCUUAGUUGCCAUCAUUAAGUUGGGCACUCUAAGGUGACUGCCGGUGACAAACCGGAGGAAGGUGGGGAUGACGUCAAAUCAUCAUGCCCCUUAUGACCUGGGCUACACACGUGCUACAAUGGACGGUACAAAGAGCUGCAAGACCGCGAGGUGGAGCUAAUCUCAUAAAACCGUUCUCAGUUCGGAUUGUAGGCUGCAACUCGCCUACAUGAAGCUGGAAUC